UCAAGGGCGUUAGACUUCUAAAGUCAGUUGCGGUAGUGAGGAAGGUGGUAGUGUUAUAGCUUAUCAUUUGACGUUAGCGACAGAAGAAGCACCGGCUAACUCCGUGCCAGCAGCCGCGGUAAUACGGAGGGUGCGAGCGUUAAUCGGAAUUACUGGGCGUAAAGCGCAUGCAGGUGGUUUGUUAAGUCAGAUGUGAAAGCCCGGGGCUCAACCUCGGAACUGCAUUUGAAACUGGCAAACUAGAGUACUGUAGAGGGGGGUAGAAUUUCAGGUGUAGCGGUGAAAUGCGUAGAGAUCUGAAGGAAUACCAGUGGCGAAGGCGGCCCCCUGGACAGAUACUGACACUCAGAUGCGAAAGCGUGGGGAGCAAACAGGAUUAGAUACCCUGGUAGUCCACGCCGUAAACGAUGUCUACUUGGAGGUUGUGGCCUUGAGCCGUGUCUUUUGGAGCUAACGCGUUAAGUAGACCGCCUGGGGAGUACGGUCGCAAGAUUAAAACUCAAAUGAAUUGACGGGGGCCCGCACAAGCGGUGGAGCAUGUGGUUUAAUUUGAUGCAACGCGAAGAACCUUACCUACUCUUGACAUCCAGAGAACUUAGCAGAGAUGCUUUGGUGCCUUCGGGAACUUUGAGACAGGUGCUGCAUGGCUGUCGUCAGCUCGUGUUGUGAAAUGUUGGGUUAAGUCCCGCAACGAGCGCAACCCUUAUCCUUGUUUGCCAGCGAGUCAUGUCGGGAACUCCAGGGAGACUGCCGGUGAUAAACCGGAGGAAGGUGGGGACGACGUCAAGUCAUCAUGGCCCUUACGAGUAGGGCUACACACGUGCUACAAUGGCGCAUACAGAGGGCAGCCAACUCGCGAGAGUGAGCGAAUCCCAAAAAGUGCGUCGUAGUCCGGAUUGGAGUCUGCAACUCGACUCCAUGAAGUCGGAAUCGCUAGUAAUCGUAGAUCAGAAUGCUACGGUGAAUACGUUCCCGGGCCUUGUACACACCGCCCGUCACACCAUGGGAGUGGGCUGCAAAAGAAGUGGGUAGUUUAACCUUCGCGAGGACUGCUCUACCGACUUGGU
rnacentral:rRNA from 1 species